CUCAUUAAAAAAUUCUUGCCGGUCGUUUUGGGACAUAAACAAAGUUGAUAUAAAAAAAUUAACAUUUAUUUUUAUAGAGGGAUCAUUCUAAUACUUACAAAGGAUUCUGGGCUAUAAUAAAAUGCAAUUUUCGUAGAACAGUAUCUUUUAAGGACGAAUGAAGUUACGUAGGAAGACUGUUGUAGUUUAAUAGAACUUUAUCGGGAUCAGUCAAUCAUUGAUUCAGUUUAAGGAUAGAUAUAAAAUUGGAGUCAUUUUCUAUGGACACAAGGAAGAGGGCAAAAUGCUACAUAAUAUCUUUACAAAAUUAACUGAAAUCAUCCCGGAAUUAUUUGUAUUUGCAAAUCGAAUGAUGGACCAUCAAACAGGACUCCAUAAUUAUUAAGGGUUGUCUAAUGAAAUGGUUAAUGGAAUAAGAAACAGUCAAAGGACAAUGAUUGGCUAAUUGUUUAUUCAAACAGCAGAAGAUAUAGUGCAAACAUUGUUGAACAAGUAACUACAGGUAAAUAUUCUGUAAAUAUUACUGCAAAAAACAGUGAAAUAAAAAUAACCGUUUUUUCAUGGCAUAUACAAUACUACCGUAUGAUCGAAUAAAAACGGCGUCAGCGAUGGCUUUGAAAUGAAGAUCGCUGUCAUUUUAUA
rnacentral:lncRNA from 1 species